rnacentral:rRNA from 1 species
AAUUUUUGACAAUGGGGGCAACCCUGAUCCAACCAUCCCGCGUGUGCGAUGAAGGCCUUCGGGUUGUAAAGCACUUUAGGCAGGGAAGAAAAGGCGCCGGAUAAUACCUGGCGCCGCUGACGGUACCUGCACAAUAAGCACCGUCUAACUACGUGCCAGCAGCCGAGGUAAUACGUAGGGUGCAAGCGUUAAUCGGAAUUACUGGGCGUAAAGCGUGCGCAGGCGGUUCGGAAAGAAAGAUGUGAAAUCCCAGGGCUUAACCUUGGAACUGCAUUUUUAACUGCCGGGCUAGGUUAUGUCAGGGGGGGGUAGAAUUCCACGUGUAGCAGUGAAAUGCGUAGAGAUGUGGAGGAAUACCGAUGGCGAAGGCAGCCCCCUGGGAUAAUACUGACGCUCAUGCACGAAAGCGUGGGGAGCAAACAG